UACGUAGGGCGCAAGCGUUGUCCGGAAUUAUUGGGCGUAAAGAGCUCGUAGGCGGUCUGUCGCGUCGGCUGUGAAAACACGGGGCUCAACUCCGUGCCUGCAGUCGAUACGGGCAGACUAGAGGUAGGUAGGGGAGAAUGGAAUUCCCGGUGUAGCGGUGAAAUGCGCAGAUAUCGGGAGGAACACCGGUGGCGAAGGCGGUUCUCUGGGCCUUACCUGACGCUGAGGAGCGAAAGCGUGGGGAGCGAACAGG
rnacentral:rRNA from 1 species